rnacentral:rRNA from 1 species
GAUGAACGCUGGCGGCGUGCCUAAUACAUGCAAGUCGAGCGAACAGACGAGGAGCUUGCUCCUCUGACGUUAGCGGCGGACGGGUGAGUAACACGUGGAUAACCUACCUAUAAGACUGGGAUAACUUCGGGAAACCGGAGCUAAUACCGGAUAACAUAUUGAACCGCAUGGUUCAACAGUGAAAGACGGUCUUGCUGUCACUUAUAGAUGGAUCCGCGCCGCAUUAGCUAGUUGGUAAGGUAACGGCUUACCAAGGCAACGAUGCGUAGCCGACCUGAGAGGGUGAUCGGCCACACGGGAACUGAGACACGGUCCAGACUCCUACGGGAGGCAGCAGUAGGGAAUCUUCCGCAAUGGGUGAAAGCUUGACGGAGCAACGCCGCGUGAGUGAAGAAGGUCUUCGGAUCGUAAAACUCUGUUAUUAGGGAAGAACAAAUGUGUAAGUAACUAUGCACGUCUUGACGGUACCUAAUCAGAAAGCCACGGCUAACUACGUG